CUUAACACAUGCAAGUCGAGGGGUAACAGGAGUAGCUUGCUACUUGCUGACGACCGGCGCACGGGUGCGUAACGCGUAUACAAUCUACCUUAUACUGGGGAAUAGCCUUUGGAAACGAAGAUUAAUGCCCCAUAGUAUUAUUGAAUGGCAUCGUUUAAUAAUUAAAACUCCGGUGGUAUAAGAUGAGUAUGCGUUCUAUUAGUUAGUUGGUAAGGUAACGGCUUACCAAGACAUCGAUAGAUAGGGGUCCUGAGAGGGAGAUCCCCCACACUGGUACUGAGACACGGACCAGACUCCUACGGGAGGCAGCAGUGAGGAAUAUUGGACAAUGGGCGCAAGCCUGAUCCAGCCAUGCCGCGUGCAGGAAGACUGCCCUAUGGGUUGUAAACUGCUUUUAUAUGGGAAGAAUAAGGGGUACGUGUACUCUGAUGACGGUACCAUAAGAAUAAGCACCGGCUAACUCCGUGCCAGCAGCCGCGGUAAUACGGAGGGUGCAAGCGUUAUCCGGAAUCAUUGGGUUUAAAGGGUCCGUAGGCGGGCAUAUAAGUCAGUGGUGAAAUGCUGUGGCUCAACCAUAGCACUGCCAUUGAUACUGUAUGUCUUGAAUUAUUGUGAAGUGGUUAGAAUAUGUAGUGUAGCGGUGAAAUGCUUAGAUAUUACAUAGAAUACCGAUUGCGAAGGCAGAUCACUAACAAUAUAUUGACGCUGAUGGACGAAAGCGUAGGUAGCGAACAGGAUUAGAUACCCUGGUAGUCUACGCCGUAAACGAUGGAUACUAGUUGUUUGGCUUUCGGGCUGAGUGACUAAGCGAAAGUGAUAA
rnacentral:rRNA from 1 species